ACGGAAGGACGGAAGGCCAAGAGCGAAUCGGAAGAGAAGGUUCGAUCUCCCGACCGGAAUUCCCAGCACGGACACCGAGCACCCACGCGGAGCCGAUGCCACUAUAAGGGCAAAAGUGUUGUGGGCUUGCGAGAUUCGGGUCUUCGAAGGCGAACACCCCGCACCCGUUGCGAGGACGAACCAGCGAUAUCCGAACCCUCGCCGAGGCCAGUGACACACAACCCAUGCAGCACGCUUGGUAACUCGGCAGUCCGUGCCGGCGGGCGACGCCACCGAAGUCAUUCGGCGACGUCGCCCGCUUACAUGU
rnacentral:ncRNA from 1 species